rnacentral:rRNA from 1 species
UAGGGAAUCUUCGGCAAUGGGGGCAACCCUGACCGAGCAACGCCGCGUGAGUGAAGAAGGUUUUCGGAUCGUAAAGCUCUGUUGUAAGAGAAGAACGUGUGUGAGAGUGGAAAGUUCACACAGUGACGGUAACUUACCAGAAAGGGACGGCUAACUACGUGCCAGCAGCCGCGGUAAUACGUAGGUCCCGAGCGUUGUCCGGAUUUAUUGGGCGUAAAGCGAGCGCAGGCGGUUUAAUAAGUCUGAAGUUAAAGGCAGUGGCUUAACCAUUGUUCGCUUUGGAAACUGUUAAAAUUGAGUGCAGAAGGGGAGAGUGGAAUUCCAUGUGUAGCGGUGAAAUGCGUAGAUAUAUGGAGGAGCACCGGUGGCGAAAGCGGCUCUCUGGUCUGUAACUGACGCUGAGGCUCGAAAGCGUGGGGAGCAAACAGG